AAGGUUAUGCUGAGUGUUUGUUGGGAUUGGAAAGGAAUCAUUCACUGUGAGGUGCCCCAGCCUGAUCGAAGAUUGAUACUACAUUUUACCGUCAACAACUGAUGAGAUUGAAGUUCGAUAGCGUACAGAAAUUUUUAAGGCUACUCAGAACUUCUCUUUCAAACUUAAAGGUUGAGCAGAUCAUUAUAAGAUAUCGCUUUCCAGAGUCUCAAAAAACACACAAAUUCGGUAUAAAAGAGAGCGCUUUGUCUGACUCAGUCUUUUAAAAGUCCUAAACGGCUAUUACACAUCAAUAGAAGUGAGGUUAGCUACAAGUUCACUUCCCUCAUCCAUCUGAACCAAGCUUUGUUCACUGGCGGCCGUUUGUCUACACCCUAAACUCAAUAAUAACCACAACAACUUCAUCAAUGCAGAACACAAAAUUUACGAUCAUUAUCGGUAUAUUGGAUGGCAAUCAAUCAAAUCGUAAAAAUGCGUGAACGCCUUAUAAAAAUAUUUGUGCUCGAAAAUAACUACAAAACCACCAAAUAAAACUGAGCAGUCCCCACAGAGAGGAUCACGCGAGUGAAUGUAGUUGAAAGCCAAAGCAGAAUGCUUAAAUCCAAUAACAACAAUUCAGGGUAAUAACAGUUGCUGUCGAAAGUCAAUAGAGCACGAUAAGCGACAGAGGCAGCGUGGAGAGAGAGACGCGGGAGGAGGCCGCCGAGUAACGACGGUGGCCAAAAACCAGUAGUCAAACAAGCAUUUAUCCGAAUCAAAUGCUGGAAGAACAGGGUAAUAUGACCUUAUCAUGCGGCCGAGUGCAGUUGAUCAGCAAAUAGUAGCAACAAUAAAAACAAUAAACGAGUGUAACGUUGGUGGAGCAGCGGUCGACAGCGGCAAUUUUUGGGAGCAGUUGAUGGGGGGUUGCUCAAAAGUCAUCAAAGGUUAGAUAGUUACUGCAUGCGGGCAAGUAUUUGCCUUGACAGCUUGAGCAAAUAGAAAAUAAUAAAAAUAAAUGACAAAUAUAAAUAUAAAGAUAAAUAAUAAAUCGGAAAACCCAAAUCGGCAGCAAAAAACUUGACGAAAUCUGAUAAACCCCAUACCGGUGAUAUGCCGCGCUAAGGCAACGUCAUAGUAUUCAAUAAGCAUUGUAUUCCUCCGCGGUAUACACGCUCGUUCCUCACUCGUGCGUUCGUCAUUUGAUCAGAUGCCAAGCAGCGAGUUCUGGUCAAGUGAUAAGCGCAGUCUUCGUUUAUUGUUCUCCAGCUUAUCACACGCAUAUUGACAGCGUUCCCGAUUGCUCGCAUACGCACACACCGGCGUGCGAUUGAAUGCGAGCGGAGGGUCAAUAGGAAACCGUUGGAUUGAAAAUAACAAAAAGUGAACUAAGGCCAGGGUUGUGCGCUGGGUUUGAGACCCGCCACGUAAAAACACCCCAAAUAAAAAGUAGAAAAGAACUUCGGAUGAGAGACCCCCCUGCUUCCCAUGCCCCCUCCCCAUGCUUCCACAGCAAUAGUGGUAGUAGGGUAUACAGUAGAGAAUCGUAAUACCUUUUAGGAAACUCGCUUGAAAGAACGUCUCCUCUUUUAAGAUGAAAUUUCCUACAGGAAAAUAGUAAUGCUUACUGAGAGUGGCGGUCGAAAGACUAUUGAUAACCUCAUCAGCGAUAAGCAAUGACACACCCGUUCCCAGGACAGUCGGGUCUACGUAAUCGGAACGCACCCGGAUUUUUUAUCCGAUCAAGGACUGUCAAAUCGGCAGAAUUCUCCGCUACAACAAGUUGUUCGACUCACUUUCCAACAGGGACCAUUUUCCUAACACACGCACAACUCCGUAUUCGUUUACCGAACAUGUUGAUAACACCUAAAAAUGCUAUUGCUAUGACUCCAAAGUUGUUGUUGUAGCUUUGACUCACUAUCAGUUGCACAAAUCAAAUAUUGAUAACUACACAUCGCCACCAAAAUGCCAACCAACAACAUACCUAUAACUGGGUAAUGGUAAAUGUAAACAAGACGCCCGAGGCCGGCUACCGAGACCACCACCAAGGCAAAUAGCACAGAACCACACCACACAACUGCAGAGGAAACAACAACAACAGCAUGGAUGGUAGCGAGAUAUCAGCUCACUGGUUGUAGGUGAAAUCGUCAAAGGUGACAGAUAGACGACCGCGAUUGAAUGCUGAUCGGUGUCCCGGUCGCAUAGUGGGCCGUACGAGGGGCUCGGUAAAAGGUAGUGUAUGCGGUGUGCGCACGCUUAUCAGCAGCACGUAUCGGUGAGAUAUGGGCGCAUACAGGCAAGCCAGCUGGAGCUCAUGGACGGACGUUAGUUGGUGUACACGUAUGUGUUUCUAUGUGUGUAUGUGUGACUUGCGCCGUUUAUGGCACUACGUUCGCCGUUUAAUAGCACACAUUUCGACUGGUAUCGACGAUUGUGGGGGCUUUCGAGUAGUGGAAAAUCGUUGCGCCCCCACUUCAAACGCGACCACAAACGCUAAAGCAAGCACCACGGGCAGCGCAGAAGAGAUCAACUAGGUUCUGCGCCAACUCAAAAUUCGAAAUUCGGGAUCGAAGUUCAGAAAUCGCGGAGCGCGUGAGCAAUCGGCGCGGGUGUGGAACUAAAUUGAUAUAAAACUCAAACUUUCGUUAUAAAAUGUUAAUCAAACAAUUAAAAAAGUGAAAAAAUCUAGAGAAAAAGUGAAAUAUUAAUAAAGCAAUACCAAAAUAAUUUCGACUCUAAUCUUAAAAAAUAUAUAUAAAAAAUAUCAAAUUUAAAAUUAAAAUCAUUUUAAAAAUUAAAAUAAAAAAAAAA